ensembl:lncRNA
GGGCGAGACAACAGCAGCGCGUCUGGGAAGGUCUUCCGCUGCUUUAGUGUAUGUAGUGAAUGCAAACACAACAGCGUGCGUUCUGGGAAUUACGACGUUCUAAGAGUGAAAUAGUGAUUAUUUUCUGACUGUUCCCUCUUCGUCGAUACACUUGCUGGAAUUUUGGAUUAUUUCUCUCGGAAAUAUUUUGCGGGAUUAAUUUGUGAGAAGGUACUCAGCCAGUUGGAAGGAAGAAUUCAGCCCACACCACCUCCAUCUCGGAACCAUUCAGAAUCUUGUUCUGAUUUGGAUUUCUACUCAAUCUCCUGGUCUGGAUGUUCACUCUGUACCGGUUUGGCUCAUCGAAUCCCACCGCCUUUGUUGGAUGAUUCAGAAGCUGAGACCGACACAUCAACACGCACGCGCACAGUGUGAGAAUUCAGAUUCAGCCCUCGUUAUGCCUGCAUGAAUAAGUAAAACUGGAUCAGUGGCCGUGGGACGACUGGCUUUGGAUCACAGGGGGCCAACUACAUAAUGGGACCAUUUGAAUGUGGCGUUGAGAGACCACUUGGAGGACACCCUGUGGACCCACACGCCAUCCUGUGACAGUCUGAACUGAGGUUCUGAAGAAUGCCCCAUGGCUGUGUGUCGCCAGUAUUAAGAGCCGUCCUCCCCUCAGCAGCCUCCACUGCUCUACAGUACUCAAGCCAAGGUACAGGACAUUGAUCCCCUGACGGGAACACAAUGAGAACG